CUACGAACCUCGGGGAGCCUGUGUGGGCUGAGAGGGGCCAGUCACGUGGCCCGACCCGUCGAACCUGAACCCGUUAGCACGGGCGGAGGGAAGGGCCGGCGAUCGCAA
rnacentral:ncRNA from 2 species